rnacentral:rRNA from 1 species
GAUGAACGCUGGCGGCGUGCUUAACACAUGCAAGUCGAACGAAGCACCUCUCCCGAAGAUUGACACAGCUUGCUGUAGAUUGAUUCAUUUGAGGUGACUGAGUGGCGGACGGGUGAGUAACGCGUGGGUAACCUGCCUCAUAGAGGGGGACAACAGUUGGAAACGACUGCUAAUACCGCAUAGUAAGAAAGAUUCGCAUGUUUCUUUCUUGAAAGAUUUAUCGCUAUGAGAUGGACCCGCGUCUGAUUAGCUAGUUGGUAAGGUAACGGCUUACCAAGGCGACGAUCAGUAGCCGGCUUGAGAGAGUGAACGGCCACAUUGGGACUGAGACACGGCCCAAACUCCUACGGGAGGCAGCAGUGGGGAAUAUUGCACAAUGGGGGAAACCCUGAUGCAGCGACGCCGCGUGAGUGAAGAAGUAUUUCGGUAUGUAAAGCUCUAUCAGCAGGGAAGAUAAUGACGGUACCUGACUAAGAAGCCCCGGC